rnacentral:lncRNA from 1 species
CAUUAUAUUUUGAUUGACAUUUUUAUGCGCCUUUCUAAUAGAGAAGCUUUGUUUCUGCCCAUUAUCCAUUUUUCGUUGUAUUUUUUCUUUAUUGCAAUUGAGGAAGAAAGGGAGUUUGCAGAUGGAUGGAAUAUGAUAAAGAUGAUAAGGUAUUUAAUUCAAGGAUUAUCCACUUGGUCUCAAAAAAGUAUAUAAUCUGUGUAGGCUGUAGGCAUGGGUUACCUGGAAUUCCAAAAUGUAAAAUUCCUAAGUUGACAGAUGGAAGGAAUGUGAUAAAGAUGAUAAGGUAUUUAAUUCAAGCAUUAUCCACUUGGUCUCAAAAAUUUAUAUAAUCUGUGUAGACCGUAGGCAUGGGUUGCCUGGAAUUCCAAAAUGUAAAAUUUCUAAUCAUGGAAAAUCAAGUUGAUGCAUUGUCUAUUUAUUUAUUGAAUAUACCAUUUCCUCACGUGGAAUGGAUCCAUCAGAAAGUGGUGCAAUUUACACUACUUGUGUCUAUUUAAAUUAUCUUAUCAAAUGUUAACUUCAAAUGUGUAAUAGUGGUUUGGGUACCAUC